rnacentral:rRNA from 1 species
GACGAACGCUGGCGGCGUGCUUAACACAUGCGAGUCGAACGGAAAGGCACUGCUUUUGUGGGGUGCUCGAGUGGCGAACGGGUGAGUAACACGUGAGUAACCUGCCCUUGACUUUGGGAUAACUUCAGGAAACUGGGGCUACUACCGGAUAGGAGCUCCUGCUGCAUGGUGGGGGUUGGAAAUUUUCGGCUGUUGGGGAUGGACUCGCGGCUUAUCAGCUUGUUGGUGGGGGAGUUGCUUACCAAGGCUUUGACGGGUAGCCGGCCUGAGAGGGUGACCGGCGACAUUGGGACUGAGAUACGGCCCAGACUCCUACGGUAGGCAGCAGUGGGGAAUAUUGCACAAUGGGCGGAAGUCUGAUGCAGCAACGCCGCGUGCGGGAUGACGGCCUUCGGGUUGUAAACCGCUUCCGCCUGUGACGAAGCGGGAGUGACGGUACUGGGUAAAGAAGCACCGGCUAACUACGUG